rnacentral:rRNA from 2 species
CACGCAGGCGGUUUUUAAGUCAGAUGUGAAAGGUACCGGCUCAACCGGUGACAUGCAUUUGAAACUGAAAGACUUGAGUAUUGGAGAGGCAAGUGGAAUUCCUAGUGUAGCGGUGAAAUGCGUAGAGAUUAGGAGGAACACCAGUGGCGAAGGCGGCUUGCUGGACAAAUACUGACGCUGAGGUGCGAAAGCGUGGGGAGCAAACA